GGCGGCGUGCCUAAUACAUGCAAGUAGAACGCUGAAGGAGGAGCUUGCUUCUCCGGAUGAGUUGCGAACGGGUGAGUAACGCGUAGGUAACCUGCCUGGUAGCGGGGGAUAACUAUUGGAAACGAUAGCUAAUACCGCAUAAGAGUAGAUGUUGCAUGACAUUUGCUUAAAAGGUGCAAUCGCAUCACUACCAGAUGGACCUGCGUUGUAUUAGCUAGUUGGUGGGGUAACGGCUCACCAAGGCGACGAUACAUAGCCGACCUGAGAGGGUGAUCGGCCACACUGGGACUGAGACACGGCCCAGACUCCUACGGGAGGCAGCAGUAGGGAAUCUUCGGCAAUGGACGGAAGUCUGACCGAGCAACGCCGCGUGAGUGAAGAAGGUUUUCGGAUCGUAAAGCUCUGUUGUAAGAGAAGAAACGAGUGUGAGAGUGGAAAGUUUCACAACUGUGACGG
rnacentral:rRNA from 1 species